CUGAUAAAUUCAAAGCUAAAUCUAAUACUGUGAUCUUCAGCUGGGAUACACGGCAUCUCAAUUAAAGGCAAUAAGAUUUACUAAACAUGCAUUGUCUGUUGCGUGCAACAAUUAUCACCUUUGUGAGCAGUGGCCUAUCGGUCAUCAGCGGAAUUCUUAUAUUCAUUGAAUACAGCCUAAACUCUCACCAUGAUCGACUAGCCACGAUGUUCGUGUUCAUGACGAUAGGUGAUUUUAUGUAUGCCGUUGGUUACAUUGUGGGGGAUAUGCGGUACUAUGACCUGUACGAGGAAAUUGACAAUGUGACCAGUACUAACUGCAGUAUACUGUCAGAUGAUGCCAGCAACGACCUGCUUUGCAAGGGGCAAAGCUUUGUUACGACGUACGCAAGUCUGGUGUCGUUUGCUUGGACCUGUAAUUUACUGAUCACGCUAUAUUUAUACUACAUAGGUCAUGACAGACCAUCACGGUUAAGGGAGUGGAUUAUGCACAUUGUCGGAUGGAUUUUACCAGGUAUAAUUGUCAUUAGCGCGGUAUCAGCCGGAGCUCUGGGUGAAGAUAGUGCGGAAUACAGCGGACCUUGGUGCUGGGUGAGGGACUUUCCAUCCAAAGGCGAAAGAAUUCUGUGGAUGCUUUUUGCGGGGAAAUUCUGGGAAAUUUUGACCUACAUCAUUACGUUCGUUAUGUUUGUACUCUGCAUGAAACUUACAAGUUGUGGCAGAAUUAAAGGCGCUCGCUUCCCAGAAGAUGUUACCAAUCAAAGACGUUUUGUGAGAAUGGAAGAUAAUGAAGAUGUAGAUGACCAGUCACAGAACAGAAUUUCAGACAUUCAAGGACUGGUUCACGACGAGAAUUAUUCGUGAUGAUGAGAUUCUCACUAAUCUCGCGAAAUUUUCUCGCACGCGAAUAAAGGUUGGUUUACAGGAAGUGGGUAUACGUUAGGUAUAUUUAUUCUGUAGUUAGAACUUAAGGGCAUAUGUCUCAUGCAGCCUAUUGCUGUUGAUUUUAUUUGGGAUGUCUGGUGUGUGUAUAUCGACCUAAGCAAGCAUUGCCCACAUUAUUUUGUUCAAUUAUAAACAAUAUUUGAGGGAAAAUAUGCAGCAUUUUGAUACUUAAAUAUUCACAUUGCAGACAUUAUAAACAUUUGAUGUACCUGUUUUAUCUAUUACUGGCCCUCGCUUCACAAGAGAUGUUUCAAAGCAAAAAUGUUUUUCGAGAAUGGUAUUAAUGCAAUCAUGCAAUUACACUUGUUCAAAUCAAAACUUGUAUUAAUUGAAUGUUUAACUGUAAGACGAAAUGCAGACAAGACAUAAAAGUGACCAUAACCUCAAUAUCUUUAUUUUUGUACAUGUUGUUUAUUGGCAAGAUUUUACAAACCCCUACAUUCCAACCUAACCAGUGGAUAUGGAGUAUUUUAUAGGAAGAUCAGAAACAUUAUGAAGAUCAGUCGUUAAUGAUGUGGAGAUUUUGCUUUGCGUGGAUAAUUUUGGUGGUCACUCGUUGCUUCGGUACAACCCGUUUCUUCUUGUAUGUGUUUGAUGUACAAGUUAGCGAUAAGGCAAAUGAAUGGCUGUUGAAUCUACAAAGUUUUGGAGAUGGCAGUUUGGCGUUUGUGAAUUUUGUAUUCUAUCUGAUCACUAACCCCGCUGUCGUACGAAAGUAUUGGAAGCAAAUCAGGGCCCGGAGCGGAAAUGAUGAAAUGUCAAAUAAUGAAAAUUUAAAUGUAAAUGAAUAAACAAACAUUAAAAAAGAAAUAAAGCAAUUAAACUUUUAGCUAGAGUAACAAAACCACAAAUAUAAACGGAUGCCCGCAUUAUAACCUUGAACGAGUUUAAAAUUAUGUAAAUAAAACCUAUGCUGAUAAAUGCAUGAAGCUUAAAUCUUUCUCUGGAUUACAAUGUGUAAAUAUUAGUAGACUAUUAGGUGGGAAAGUUUAUCGAGGAUAAUGCGCACGAUAUCGUAGAAUACAGUAAUAAAACUAUUGUAUCUAAAACCGACAGUAUAUGUCGAAAUAGUAAAUUUACUGGCCUAAAAAUCGUGGGCGGCCAAGAGAAAGUGAAAAUUAUCUAAAAAGACUUGCAUGUAUAAGAAUAUCUACGGAUUUCACCAUUUCUACAAGUUUUGAAAAUCAGUAGAAUGCUUUAUUGUUUCAAAAUAUACAUAACAAGACUUUUUAACAUGAGUCAUUUUUGCAAUUGGUCAUGGGAAUUAAAAGAAUCGUAGUUUUCAUUUUUUGCUAAGAAAAUCUAUAGGGGGUGCAUCAUUAUAAGAAUAACAUAAUUUUCACAGUAGUACAUGUAUGUACAUUAUGCAAUCACAAAAUGAGUCAUAAUUGCUAUUUUGUGAAACAGCUGAAUUUAUCAAGGUGAUAUAUUCCAAAAUGGUAUGAAGAACAAAACCUGGAAAUUAAAGUUUUCAUUUGAUUUAGCUUAUUGAUAGUACUGUUAUCAUUGAUAUAUGAUUUAGUUUUUGUUAGGUAUAUGCAAGGUGAAGAUAACGAACAGUGAUCAAUCUCAUAACUCCUACAAGCAAUACAAAAUAGAUAGUUGGGCAAACACGGACCCCAUGACACACCAGAGGUGGGAUCAGGUGCCUAGGAGGAGUAAUCAUCCCCUGUUGACCGGUCACACCCGCUGUGUGCCCUAUAUCCUGAUCAGGUAAACGGAGUUAUCCGCAGUCAAAAUCAGUAUGCCAAGAACGGCUUAACAAUCGGUAUGAAACACGUGAGACAGCAUUUGACCAAAUGAUAGGUUGUAUUGACGAACUAGAUCGUUAUAAUAUAUAUGUAUCAUUAUGACGUCACAAAAUGAGUCAUAAUUGCUAUUUUGUGAAACAGAUGAAUUUGUAAAGGUGAUAAUUUCCAAAAUGGUAUGAAGAACAAAAGCUGGAAUUUAAAUUUUGCAUAUAAUUUAGCUUUUUUGAUAGAACUGUUAUCAUUGAUAUCUGAUUUAGUUUUUGUCAGUUAUAUGUAUCAAUAGAUAGCAUUUUCUUUAAAAAUCUUAAGCUUUACACAUAUGCACAUGAGCCGUUAUUCCAUAAAUGAAUUCAUUUAAAGAAAUGCUUUUAUUUUAGGUACUAAUAAAAGUAUGAAGUCUC